UGUCCAGGGGGCCUUGAGAGGGGAGGUGAGAUUCAGGUUUGUACAUUUGGGGUCUUGAACAAGUAGGGUCUGAAUUGCUGAGGUCGGCUUCUGGUUUGUAUUCUGAACUGAGGAGUUAGGGUCAAGCAUAGGUGGGCAGAGCUGAGUUUUUCAGGUAACAUCUGUGAAACCACAGGCGAGCAGAGGUAGGUUGACCUGAAGAGCCAUGGUUAGUGUCCUUCAACUCUGUCUCGCCAUUGAAUUUAGGUACAGGUAGAUAGACCAGAUCUGUCAGGUAAGGCCUAGAGAGGCCAUGUUAGGCUUAUCUAGAAAGAACUCUCUUAGACUAUCUCUGAGGUGAUGAAGGGACAUCAGGAGGAUGGGCUUGGUCUCUCAGCUGAGAUCUCAGGAGCCAGGAUUGAGUGCAGGUGACUCGAUCUGGAUCUCCCAGGUUCAGGUCAAAAUAGGCAGACAGAAUUGCACUUCCGCUGUCUUGUAGAGCUCUCUCACAAAGUUGAUGAGUUGGUGGUCAGGUACAGCUAUGUGAGAUUGAGUUUCUCAGGUGAGGUCUGUGGAGUUUGUAUCUGGCAAGGGUUUGUAUCUUGGGACUGGCCAUAGGAAUUCAGCACAAGUGAAUACAGCAGGGUUUGUCAGGUAAGGUCUGUGCCACCAAGAUCAGGGCAGGGUCAUAAUGCUAGGUCUCUCCAGUGAGAUCUAAAAAGUCCCAGCUGAGUCCAGGUAAGAACUGAAUGUCUUAGAUGUAAACAACUGAGAGGAGGUACAGGUAAGCAGAGCUAGCCCACUUUGUACAGUAUCAGGAGCCACGAGCAAGCACAUGUAGGUAGAUCUGGCCUCCCAGGUGAGGUCUGAGGACCCAGGGUCAAGCACAGGUAGGCAGAACUGGCCCAUCAGGUAUGGUCUGAGGACCCCGGUCAAGCACGGGUAGGUAGAACUGACACCAUGUGAGGUCUGAAGAACCAAGGUCAAGCACACAGGUAGGCAGAGCUGGCCUGCCAGGUGAUGUCUGAGGAACCAGGGUGAAACACAGGUAGGUAGAAUUAGCCUAUCAGGUGAAGUCUGAGGAAUUGGGAGUCAAGCCUAGGUAGGUAGAUUUGGCUUGCUAGGUGAGGUCUGAGGUACCAGGGAACUGGGCCACAAAGUAUGGUCUGAGGAGCUAGGGUCAAGCACAGGUAGGUAAAACUGGCUCACCAGAUAAGGUCUGAAGUGUCAAGGUCAAGUACAGGUAGGUAGACCUGGCCUGCCAGGUAUGGUUGGAGGAGCCAAGAUCAAGCACAGGUAGGCAGAGCUGGCCUGCCAGGAAGGUCUGAUGAGUCAAGGUAGGUAGAGCUGGCAUACCAAGUGUGGUCUGAAGAGCCAAGGUCAAGCUCAGGCAGGUAGAACUGGGCUGCCAGGUAAGGUCUGCAGAACCAAGGCCAAGCACAGGUAGGUAGAACAGGACUGCCAGGUAUGAUCUGAGGGGCCAGGGUCAAGCAUAGAUAGGUAGAACUAGUCUACCAGGUGAAGUCUGAGGAAGUGGAAUCAAGCACAGGUGGGCAGAUUUGAUUUGAUAGGUGAGGUCUGAGGAACCAGGGUCAAACACAGGUAGGUAGAACUGGCCUGCCAGGUAAUGUUUGAAGAACCAAGGUCAAGGACAGGUAGGUAGAGCUGGCCUGCCAGGUAUGAUCUGUGGGGCCAAGGUCAAGCACAGGUAGGUAGAACUGGCCUGCCAGGUAUGGUCUUAGGAGCCGGGGUCAAGUACAGGUAGGUAGAAUGGGCCUGUCAGUUAUGGUCUGAGGAGCCAGGGUCAAGCACAGAUAGGAAAAGAGCUGGCUCAUCAAGUGUGGUCUGAGGAGUCAAGGUCAAGCACAGGUAGGUAGAACUGGCUUGCCUGGUAUGAUCUGACGGGCCAAGGUCAAGCACAGGUAGGUACAACUGACCUGCCAGGUAUGAUUUGAUGGGCCAAGGUCAAGCACAGGUAGGUAGAACUGGCCUGCCAGGUAUGGUCUGAGGGGCCAAGGUCAAGCACAGGUAGGCAGAGCUGGCCCACCAAAUGUGGUUUGAGGAGCCAAGGUCAAGCACAGGUGAGGUAGAACUGGUGUGCCGGGUAUGAUCUGAGAGGUCAAGGUCAAGCAUAGGGACGUAGAACUAGCCUGUCAGGUGAAGUCUGAGGAACUUGAAUCAAGCACAGGUAGGCAGACUUGGUUUGCUAGAUGAGGUCUGAGGAACCAGGGUCAAGCACAGGUUGGUAGAACUGGCCUGCCAGGUAAGGUCUGAGGAGCCAAGGUCAAGCACAAC